rnacentral:tRNA from 1 species
UCAUUGGUAGCACAGUGGUCAUUGCAGUCUGCUUGAAACAGGAAGGCGCGAGUUCAAUUUCCGUCCGAUGUC